rnacentral:lncRNA from 1 species
GACUUAAUGUCAGAAACUGCAAGCAAAUCAAUUAACCACAAUCACAAUAAUAACUAUGAGUAUCUACGACUCGAUCUAGCUCGUAACACCGUAUAUCGGUGCUACACUAACUCGAGGGUUCCAUAACCCUCUACGACACACUAACACAACACUUUAACCUGGGCCCUAGUGACUUCGUGUUCCUACCACAAAGGCAAGAAGAAGAAACUUUCAACCGACCGCGGCCCACAGUCUUUUGGGUCACCGCGCGACAGCUCACAGUCCUUCGGGUCACUGCUACAUUAC